rnacentral:rRNA from 1 species
UACGUAGGGUGCAAGCGUUAAUCGGAAUUACUGGGCGUAAAGCGUGCGCAGGUGGUUUUGCAAGACCGACGUGAAAGCCCCGGGCUCAACCUGGGAACUGCGUUGGUGACUGCAAGACUAGAGUGUGGCAGAGGGGGGUGGAAUUCCACGUGUAGCAGUGAAAUGCGUAGAUAUGUGGAGGAACACCGAUGGCGAAGGCAGCCCCCUGGGUUAACACUGACACUCAUGCACGAAAGCGUGGGGAGCAAACAGG